AUUCAUGGCCUCAAUGCUCUAAAGGCGUCAGAUCUCAUCUGAUCUUAGAAGUUAAGUAGGAUCAGAUUUAGAUGGUGCUUGGAUGGGAGAAUGUCAAUGAAUACCAGGUGCUGUUGGCU
rnacentral:rRNA from 11 species